AUACGGAGGAUCCGAGCGUUAUCCGGAUUUAUUGGGUUUAAAGGGUGCGCAGGCGGCCAUUUAAGUCAGCGGUUAAAUCGUGGGGCUCAACCCCAUUCUGCCGUUGAUACUGGGUGGCUUGAUUGCGGUCGAGGUUGGCGGAAUUCGUUGUGUAGCGGUGAAAUGCAUAGAUAUGACGAAGAACACCGAUUGCGUAGGCAGCUGACCAGACCGCAAAUGACGCUCAUGCACGAAAGUGCGGGGAUCGAACAGGAUUAGAUACCCUGGUAGUCCGCACAGUAAACGAUGAAUACAUGUUUUCGGCGAUAUAAUGUCGGAGGCAAAGCGAAAGCGAUAAGUAUUCCACCUGGGGAGUACGCCGGCAACGGUGAAACUCAAAUGAAUUGACGGGG
rnacentral:rRNA from 1 species